UACGAAAGGUGCAAGCGUUGUUCGGAAUGACUGGGCGUAAAGCGCACGUAGGCGGCUUUGCAAGUAGGAUGUGAAAUCCCCAGGCUUAACCUGGGAAUGGCAUUCUAAACUACAAAUCUUGAAUGCUUGAGAGGUUGGUGGAAUGCCUGGUGUAGGAGUGAAAUCCGUAGAUAUCAGGUGGAAUAUCGGAGGCGAAGGCGGCCAACUGGUGAUGCAUUGACGCUAAGGUGCGAAAGCGUGGGGAGCAAACAGG
rnacentral:rRNA from 1 species